GGAUGUUGGUCUAGUUCUGUGUGGAAGACUAGUGAUUUUGUUGUUUUUAGAUAACUAAAUCGACAACAAAUCGCAGUCUGCCAUAUGGCACAGGCCAUGCCUCU
ensembl:miRNA